rnacentral:tRNA from 1 species
GGUUGUGGUUUAGCGGUAGAGCGCUUGCCUAGCAUGUGUGAGGUCCUGGGUUCAAUCCUCAGCACCA